GUUCCUUCGAGAAAAAAUAUGUUGAAAUUGAAACUAUACAUAAAAGAAUAGCAUCACCCCUACAUAAGCAUGACACAUACAAACCAAAAAAUAUAUUUAAUAUAU